GACGAACGCUGGCGGCGUGCCUAACACAUGCAAGUCGAACGGAACUUACCGAAUGAAGUCUUCGGAUGGAUUUUGAUAAGUUUAGUGGCGGACGGGUGAGUAACGCGUGAGUAACCUGCCUUCAAGAGGGGAAUAACGUUCUGGAAAAGAACGCUAAUACCGCAUAACAUACGGAUGUCGCAUAGCAACCGUAUCAAAGAUUUUAAUCGCUUGAAGAUGGACUCGCGUCCGAUUAGCCAGUUGGCGGGGUAACGGCCCACCGAAACGCGACGAUCGGUAGCCGGGACUGGAGAGGUUGAACGGCCACCAUUGGGACUGAGACACGGCCCAGACUCCUACGGGAGGCAGCAGUGGGGGAUAGUUGCGUC
rnacentral:rRNA from 1 species